CCUAUUGGGCCUGGCUGGAAUACCUCCCAUGUGUGCUCCUCCAUGUUCUUUCUACUUCUUGUAAGAAUCUGUAGAAGCCACGUGUUGAAAAUGGAAGAGUUCCAAGUUGGAAGGAGGUUGGGUGCUUCUACCACCAUUUGAGGAAGAAUUACCCACUAGCUGAUCAGGGAUCAGCCAUUCUGAACAUUACACAAGCAGGAAAUGAACUUCUAUUGUGGAAAGCAACUCCUGAUCUCCACCUUGAUUUCACAUCAGAAAGACAUCAGAGAGAUUCAGAGUGCAGCUGGGCAAUCCUCACAUUUUACACGCAAAGAAGAUAAAGCUCCGAGAGUUAGAAGCAUUGCUAGCCGUGAAACCCAGGACUCUGAGUCUACCUCUGCAGAGUGACUGCAGGCUUUCUGAAGCAUGCUAUCCUCCUGAUGGAGACUGCCCAGAAACACAGGGGCUGAAACGGCACUAGGGGCACUAGCGUGGUGUGCACAGAGUAUGAACAUGGAAAUUAUUAAUUCUAGGAAUCCAGCUGCAUUACAGCCCAAUUAUUUACUUAAUCUCAACAAUGGAAGUUUCAUACAGUUGGAGUUCAUUAAAUAAUUGUUCUAUCUUAUAAGAAAGUUGGAAUAAUGCAGUGGCUCAUUCUGUGGAUCUAAAGAAAACAAUGGACUGUGAUCUUGACCCUGAUUUCCCAAAAACGUAGACGCCUGAUUUUGAAACAAUUUCAAAGGAUCCCCAAACCCAAUGAAACUCACAAAUAAUCUACUAGGUGUUAUGGGACCCCAGAUUAAGAGUCCCUGGAGAAGAAAGACCUCAGGCUUUUAAAAAUUGACACAUGGGAUCUAAUUGAACUAAAGAGCUUCUGCACAACAAAAGAAACUAUCAUCGGAGUGAACAGGCAACCUGCAGAAUGGGAGAAAAUUUUUGCAAUCUAUCCAUCUGACAAAGGGCUAAUAUCCAGAAUCUACAAAGAACUUAAACAAAUUUACAAGUAAAAAACAAACAACCCCAUCGAAAAGUGGGCAAAGGAAAUGAACAGACACUUCUCAAAAGAAGACAUUUAUGCAGCCAACAAACAUGAAAAAAUGCUCAUCAUCACUGGUCAUUAGAGAAAUGCAAAUCAAAACCACAACAAGAUACUAUCUCACGCCAGUUAGAAUGCCAGUCAUUAAAAAGUCAGUAAAGAACAGAUGCUGGAGAGGAUGUAGAGUAAUAGGAAUGCUUUUACACUGUUGGUGGGAGUGUAAAUUAGUUCAACCAUUGGGGAAGACAGUGUGGCAAUUCCUCAAGGAUCUAGAACCAGAAAUACCAUUUGACCCAGCAAUCCCAUUACUGGGUAUGUACCCAAAAGAUUAUAAAUCAUUCUACCAUAAAGACAGAUGCACACAUAUGUUUAUUGCAGCACUAUUCACAAUAGCAAAGACUUGGAACCAACCCAAAUGUCCAUCAAUGAUAGACUGGAUAAAGAAAAUGUGGCACAUAUACACCAUGGAAUACUAUGCAGCCAUAAAAAAGGAUGAGUUCGUGUCCUUUGCAGGGACAUGGAUGAAGCUGGAAACCAUCAUUCUCAGCAAACUAACACAAGAACAGAAAACCAAACACUGCAUGUUCUCUCUCAUAAGUGGGAGUUGAACAAUGAGAACACAUGGACACAGGGAAGGGAACAUCACACACUGGGGCCUGUCAGGACCCUGGGAGGAUCUAGGGGAGGGAUGGCAUUAGGAGAAAUACCUAAUGUAGAUGACGGGUUGAUGGGUGCAGCAAACCACCAUGGCAUGUGUAUACUUUGUAACAAACCUGCACAUUCUGCACAUGUAUCCCAGAACUUAAAGUAUAAUUUUUUAAAAAAAAGGAAAGAAAGAAAGACCUCAGGCCUCUUAGCUAAAAUUCUAAGGUUCAAAUCUCAGCUCCACUACUUGUUAUAUAAUCUUAACCCAUUUUCCAAACCUCUGAGCCCCCAUUUCCUCAUCUGUGAAGCGGAGGUGAUACCUCCUCCAGUUGUGGGAUUAAAGGAGAUGUGAAAUUCUAUCAUAUAGGGAUGCUGCCAGGCUUGCAGUCAGUAAUAGGGGAUAGAAACUGAGUGCUUUCUAAGCACCAGGCUCUGCCGUAUCCACUGUAUCUGCACUAUCUCAACACCACUAGGAGACAGGUACUGUUGUGAUCCCUGUUUUAUAGAUAAGAAAGCUGAGACAGAGAGGUUAAGUAUUUGCCCAAGAUGGCACACCUUCUAAAUGGCACCACCAGUCAGUGGAUUCCAGAGUCCAUGCUUCUAACCACUACAUCAUAUUAUCUCAUUAAACAAUAUAAUUUACUCCAGAAGUGUGGCUUUAAAAAAAUUAAACUCAGAGAAGGAAGCAGAAUGGAAAGAAAAAGAUAGAUCUUGGUGAGGAAUGAGUUGACCGAAAGGCCCCUUUGCCAACCUGUCCAUUUUGUCCCUUUUUAGGGACAGAUGCAGAAAAGCAGUGUCCUGAGCUCUGGGCAGCAGAUGGCCCUGAAGCUCCAUCUCACCCAGGUUGUGGCUGGCCGGUGCCUUGAAGACACAUUUCAUGUGCAGGCACUGCCCGAAAAUGCUUUGCAAAAAUCAUCCUAUUCAAUUCAUCCCACACACUCACAGUGCUAUGAGACAGAGGCUACCACUAGCUCCAUUUUACAGGUAAGAAAACUAAAACACAGGUGUAAAAUGUUCCCCACAACCACUGCUGCCCUAAACUACUUUAGGCAUAAACCACAUGUGGUUUCAUAAACAGUUUUGGUAAACCACAGGGUCUCAUAAACAGUUUUGGUAAAAUGCUGAGAGGGGAUAGUUCCCUUGACCCCCUUUGCGGGCAGGAACUGGGGUGGCUCGUUUCACUCAGCCCACCACUGGCCACUCCUCGCAGGAAGGAGAGUGUGAGUGAGCGAAUGCAGGAACCCAAGCGAAUGAAUGCUAGAAAUGGAACCGGCAGGUCACUCCUCUCUGGUGGGAGCAGGCUCUGUGUGGGACCCACAGCAGCAUCCAAGUGUGUUACAGCCAGUGCUCUUUCAGCUCUGCCAUCAGGAUCAGCCAAAUGCCAACCAGCUCAGUGGAGGGUCAGGGUGGCAGCCUCUGCCCUCUCGGCACCCAGGUUCUUGUCCAGCGUCCAAGAAGAAUCAGGUCACAUGGACUGUUUGAAAUGUGAUGAAUGCGGAAGACUUUAUUGAGUAGUGGGUGGCUCUCAGUGAAAAGGAAGGCUGGAAAGGGGAUGGGAAGGUGAUCUUUCCCUGAAGUUCAGCCAUCUCCGGCCGGGCCCCUCUCUGAAGCCACGCUGUCUGAAGUCAGCCACACCUAUCCAUAGCCUCUGAUGCUCAGUUGCUUCUCUGCUCACUCCUCAGCCACUUGUAUCCUCUGCUCACUCCUCAGCCGCUUGUGUUGUUCUGCCAGCUAAAGCUUUUUAUGGGCAUAGGAUAUGGGUGAGGCAGGCCAAAAAGGCAACAUUUGGACAGAAAAAUGGGGUCAGCUGUUUUCACUUAGGGGACAGUUCCAGGCUUAAGUGUGGGGUUUAGCUGGAAGCCCAGCCCUCUGUAUCAGUACGAUGGUUAAAAUCAGAAACUUUGGGGCCAAAUACAGUAAAACAUGUGGGGGUGGGGAGAGGGGCUGUUAGGGAGGAGGGUUAAAUAAGCACAGUCCACAUACUGCACAUCAGAGCUGUUUCUACCCAAUGUGAACUGCAUGGGUGUAAGGAACAUGGCUGUGCUUUGGUCAAGGAUAGGCCGAGGUAAGAUGUUUACAUCCCUGUGUGUCAGCUAGUUCAGAGCACAGGUGUAUAACUCCACUUGUUAUCAUAGCCAGGUAGCCAACACUAGAUGGGAAGGCCAUCGCUUGGCUCUACACCACUAUUGUCUAUAAAAGGCAUAAUUGCCCUGUUGACACUGCGCAGGUGCACUGGCACCCAGAGAAAGAGAGAGAGAGAGCCAAAGCUGUCCAUCUGCAAGAUGGACAGAGGGGAGCCACGGCACAGCUCGUGCUGGUUCCCAGAGAGAGAAAGGGUUGAGUUGCUGACCCUGAAGGCAAGAGAGAGCAGGCCACGCAGCUGUGUGUGGGGGCCGCCGGACCAAGCAGCUGAGACAGGGUGGACAGUGUGAGAAAGCUGUUGAUAAGAGCUGCUGCUGAAUAAAAUAAUUCACCUGC